rnacentral:rRNA from 1 species
AGCCGACCUGAGAGGGUGACCGGCCACAUUGGGACUGAGACACGGCCCAAACUCCUACGGGAGGCAGCAGUGGGGAAUAUUGCACAAUGGGGGAAACCCUGAUGCAGCGACGCCGCGUGAGCGAUGAAGUAUUUCGGUAUGUAAAGCUCUAUCAGCAGGGAGGAAAAUGACGGUACCUGACUAAGAAGCCCCGGCUAACUACGUGCCAGCAGCCGCGGUAAU